rnacentral:lncRNA from 1 species
GUUUGCUUCCCGUUCCACCAUAAUUGUAAGUUUCCUUAGGCCUCCACAUCCAGGCUGAACUGUGAGUUAAUAAAACUUCUUUCCUUUGCCCAGUGUCAGGUUCUGUGCUCUGUCUUUCCUCUAGCCCUCAGCUUAAUAGGUUGUGACCAAGGCAAUUCAAGGAAUUGUCCCAGGAAUAUUAUCAGCUGUUACUAAUGGAAAUCAAGGGGAGGGGAACUGGUGGAAUGAGUACCUGGCAAAAGGAAAGCAGUUGUCAUGACUGGCCAAGACUAAAGGCAACAGAGGAAACUUGAAAUCUGUAAGUGUCAUAAAAAUUGCAAGUACUGUUGACUCAGAUGUACUGAGAGGUUCACAUUAUCACUGCCAACUCUGCUACGUUGCCUACAAAGGAAUCCACACACCAACACUGGUCAGAAGACUUUCACUGGAGAUAUCCCUCCCUAUGCCUGGAAGAAAGGAAUAUUCUUAUCUCUGAAGACAUUGGGAAACACAAUAAUAGCUGAAAAACAGGCCUUGCUAACUUCUCUCCAGUUUAUUAUUAGAUGAUACAUUUUUAUCCAAUCAUAUUUCUCCAUCACUACCCACUUCUCCAUCAGAACUAGCCUUAAAAUGCAUAGGUUUACAUAUUUUUUAGUCUUCAUUUCCACAGUUCCCUUGUCACACUAAAACUAUAUUAAGUAAAUUUAUAUGUUUUUCUCUUGUCCAUUUGUCUUUUGUUAUAGGGGCUCAAC